rnacentral:rRNA from 1 species
CCUUUUGAGCUCGGUCUCGUGGGUUUUGAAGAGUUUCAAAGCCUUCGGAUUCGCGGGAUUGGGAUCUCCUGGUGUACUUUUUCGUACGGUUAGUCAACCUCGGUUUUGAAUGUCAUAAAAUUACUGGAGGAAUGUAGCUUCGAUCUCGUAUUGAAGUGUUAUAGCCUUUGGUAGAUGUGAUGUUUGAGACCGAGGAUUGCAACGGAUACCCUU